rnacentral:lncRNA from 1 species
CAAAAAAUCGUGUGACAUGAAAAGAUUUUGUGUAAGCAGUUGGAAAAAAGAGUAAAAUGUUUGGUGGAGCUCUGCUUGUAGUUCCUGCUGAUGUCCACCAGAGGGCGCCAUGUAACCACUGAACUAUAUGUGGUAAUGCUCUCUGGGCGGUUCCUCUUGUUUCCUGUUCAACGUUUACUUUCACUUUCCAGAGGCUGAUGUGACGCAGCUUUUUCUCUCUGUGUGGAGCUCCAGCUGAAGGACCCAUCAGAGACCAGACCCUGCUGAACCUGAACCUGAACCCAGCUGUGUGUCCAUGAAGAGUCACCGGUCCAUGGAGACACUAGUUUAAAAAAGACCUGUAAGGGAGAGGAGAAUAGAAAUGGAGGAGAGGCUGCUUGAACUGGAGGAGAGAGGAUUGAUGGAGAGACUUGAAUGGCAGAAGGAGAGAAUAACAAUGGAAAAGGAAAUUGAAAUGUUAAGAAGAAGAUUGAGGACCCACCAGAGACCAGAGUCUCCUGAACCUGAACCUGAACCUGAACCCAGCUGUGUGUCCUUUAAGAGCGACCAGUCAAAGGAUGAUGUGAUUAAUUUUAAACGUGUUUCUGACAUAAAACUAUCUGCUGAUGGAAGGAUCCAGCAGCAGAGACCAGGGUCUCCUGAACCUGAACCUGAACCCAGCUGUGUGUCCUUUAAGAGCGACCGGUCAAGGAUGAUGUGAUUAAUUUUAAACGUGUUUUUGACAAAAAAGAGGACCAGGAGAGCUCAGAGGUUCCCAGUGGUCAGUCUGCCCAGCAGCAUCAAACACACCUGGACUCUAUAUUUAUGGUCUGUACAUGUACAUCAACUACUUUUACAUCUAUUCUGUUCACAAUCAUCUCCAUGCUGCACUU